CUACGGGUCGCAGCAUUUAUUAAUCUUUCACAAUGGGGGGAACCCUGAUGCAGCAACUCCGCGUGGAGGAUGACGCAUUUCGGUGUGUAAACUCCUUUUAUAUGUCAAGAAAAUGACGGUAGCAUAUGAAUAAGCACCGGCUAACUCCGUGCCAGCAGCCGCGGUAAUACGGAGGGUGCAAGCGUUACUCGGAAUCACUGGGCGUAAAGGACGCGUAGGCGGGUUGGAAAGUCAGGUGUGAAAUCCUACAGCUUAACUGUAGAACUGCACUUGAAACUUCUAAUCUAGAGUAUGGGAGGGGGAGAUGGAAUUAGUGGUGUAGGGGUAAAAUCCGUAGAUAUCACUAGGAAUACCUAAAGCGAAGGCGAUCUCCUGGAACAUUACUGACGCUAAGGCGUGAAAGCGUGGGGAGCAAACAGGAUUAGAUACCCUCGUAGUC
rnacentral:rRNA from 1 species